UACGUAGGGUGCGAGCGUUGUCCGGAAUUAUUGGGCGUAAAGGGCUCGUAGGCGGUUUGUCGCGUCGGGAGUGAAAACACCGGGCUUAACUCGGUGCUUGCUUUCGAUACGGGCAGACUAGAGGUAUGCAGGGGAGAACGGAAUUCCUGGUGUAGCGGUGAAAUGCGCAGAUAUCAGGAGGAACACCGGUGGCGAAGGCGGUUGCCUGGGGCUUUGCUGACGCUGAUGCGCGAAAGCGUGGGGAGCGAUCCGG
rnacentral:rRNA from 1 species